GCUUCCUUAAUUCAGUUGGUAGAAUGACGGACUGUUAAUCCGUUUGUCACUGGUUCAAGUCCAGUAGGAAGCGCCA
rnacentral:tRNA from 1 species